rnacentral:rRNA from 1 species
CUACGGGAUGCAGCAGUGAGGAAUAUUGCACAAUGGGGGGAACCCUGAUGCAGCAACGCCGCGUGGAGGAUGACGCAUUUCGGUGUGUAAACUCCUUUUAUAUGUCAAGAAAAUGACGGUAGCAUAUGAAUAAGCACCGGCUAACUCCGUGCCAGCAGCCGCGGUAAUACGGAGGGUGCAAGCGUUACUCGGAAUCACUGGGCGUAAAGGACGCGUAGGAGGGUUGGAAAGUCAGGUGUGAAAUCCUACAGCUUAACUGUGGAACUGCACUUGAAACUUCUAAUCUAGAGUAUGGGAGGGGGAGAUGGAAUUAGUGGUGUAGGGGUAAAAUCCGUAGAUAUCACUAGGAAUACCUAAAGCGAAGGCGAUCUCCUGGAACAUUACUGACGCUAAGGCGUGAAAGCGUGGGGAGCAAACAGGAUUAGAUACCCGGGUAGUC